UUACAGCGAAAGAAGUUACUGUGACAGAAGAGAGAGAAGCUUUCAGAGUGAAAGAGGAGGAUGUUACUGUGACAGAAGCGGAAGACGUUUUCAGAGUGAAAGAAGAGGAGGAUGUUACUGUGAAAGAAGACGAGGAGGAAGAGAAACAACAGGAUGCAGUUUUUGUAGUGAAAGAGGAGGAUGAGGCGAUGACUCUCACAGUGAAAGAAAUAAAACACGUUUUUGGAGUGGAGGGGGAGAUUACUGCCACGUUGGAGGAGGAAGAAGACCACAACGGAGAUCUGAUUAACACCAGAGAGAGACCAGACUCUGAAGAACCAGAGACGUCUGAACCAGCAAGACGACACCACUGCUCCCAGUGUGGAAAAAGUUUUACUCAAUUACGGACACUGAAGGUGCAUGAAAGAAUACACACUGGAGAGAGGCCCUACCAAUGUUCCCAAUGUGGAAAGAGUUUUACCCAGUUAGCGAGCCUGAAAAUACAUAAUAGAAUACACACAGGAGAGAAGCCUUACCAAUGCUCCCAGUGUGGAAAGAGAUUUUCACAGUUAAGUUACCUGAAAUCACAUGAGAUAAUACACACAGAAGAUAAGCCUCACAAAUGCCCUCAAUGUGGUAAUACUUUUAAGCGGUUAAAUAACCUGAAGUGCCAUAAGAGUACACACAGGGGAAAAGCCUUACCACUGUUUCCAUUGUGAAAAGAGUUUCCGUUGGUUAAGGCAACUGAAAGCGCAUGAGAGAACGCACACUGGAGAGAAGCCCUACCAAUGUUCCCAGUGUGGAUAGAGUUUUACCCAGCUAGGGAGCCUGAAAAUACAUAAUAGAAUACACACAGGAGAAAAGCCUUAUCAAUACUCCCAGUGUGAAAAGCGUUUUAACCGAUUAAGAAACCUAAAAUCACAUGAGUGGAUAUACAGAUGAAAAGCCCCAUCACUGCUCUGUGUGGAAAGAGUUUAACCUCAUCAGGCUUCCUGAAGAUUCAUGAGCAAAGACACACAGGGGAAAGCCUUUCCACUGCUCCCAGUGUGGAAAGGCUAAAUCACAUGAAGUAUCCACACGAGAGAAACUCUAUGAAUGCCUUCAGUUUAGAAAGAUAUUUACCCAGUUUAGGCACCUGAAAGACUGAGGUUACACUCUCAGCAGAGAAGCCUUACCCAUGCUCCCAGUGUGGAGAGCGAUAUUUCACAUACUUACAAUUCAUGAUGUAUCACACACUUUGCUCCCAUACUUGUCUCAUAUUUUUGACUGACAAUUGAUGCUUUGUGGUUUUGUUUAUGCUCUUAUUUCCAUAUGAAAUCAAAUUGGAGAAAACCUACUCAAAAAUACAUUUUUAUGUUUUAAUAUCCCAAGAUAUGAAUUGAAUAUGGAGUGUAGCAGUUUUUAUGUAGAUUCUAUGUACACUCUGGGAUUAAAUAGUCUUUUUUUUUUA